UCGGCCGCACACCUAAUUCUCUCCUCCCUCCUUUCCACUUCUCUCUGCCAUCAUCGGAGACCACAAUUUCCGGCCACCAAAUCACAACACCGCCACCGCCAAUCGAUUCUGGACCCAAUUCCGAUCAAAACCCAAGAAGGUCACUGCCAUCCACCGCCGCCAGCCUCAUCACGCGACCAUCAAAGUCGCGACGGCGCUGCUCCCUAGCUCGCAUCAAGUUUCGGCCAUUUCCUCAACACACCCCGCCAUCAGCGUGCGCAGAGGAAGCCGGACAUCAAAAUCCAGAAGCUUCGCCGCCGGCCGUACCCCGCACGUUCCAUCGCCGGAAUCCUAGACCUUGGGUUUCUCCGGUCUUCCUCCUCCAAAUUGAAUCGAGCUCCAAUACCUCCAAGAAUGGAGUCAGUGCCUCUCCUUUUAUCAAAACAAAGGGCCCGACUUCUGAUUUCAACCAGAGCCUCCGCGGACGCCGCCGGAUUAUCCUCUUCGUUCUGGUAACCCAUUCUCCCAAGCCUCUCAUUCGUUAAUAGGCUGAGUUUCAAUUUCACUCUAAUGGAGUUAUUAAUGUUCAGUUCUUUUGAUUGUUGUUCUUGAAUUUCGUACUUGGAAGAAACAGAGAAAUUGAAAUGUAAAGGGGAGCUUCGAUUGAUGAGGAACUAAGGAGGACUGCAUGCAGCAGCAGGUCAUUGAGACUAUUGUCUCGGCAGAAAUGGUACAAGGGAACUGACAGAAAAGAAGAUGGGUAUUCCUUAACCAGUAGCGAUCAAGCAGUUUCAAUUGACAAUGGAGGAAGUUGAUGAGCUGCUGAAGAGCAGCACAUUUGAGCUUGGUUAUCUGGUCAACUUGCGGACCUUG